rnacentral:rRNA from 1 species
CACGUAGGCACCAAGCGUUGUCCGGAUUUAUUGGGCGUAAAGAGCUCGUAGGCGGUUCGGUAAGUCGGGUGUGAAAACUUUGGGCUCAACCUGGGAAUUGCAUCUGUGACUGCAUCGCUAGAGUACGGUAGAGGGGGAUGGAAUUCCGCGUGUAGCAGUGAAAUGCGUAGAUAUGCGGAGGAACACCGAUGGCGAAGGCAAUCCCCUGGACCUGUACUGACGCUCAUGCACGAAAGCGUGGGGAGCAAACAGG